GCAGAGUAGGAUUUUGUGCGUUAAGUGUCUCACAGACGGGGAGUUGCUGUGGGAACGAAAAGUAAAUUACUUGCGGUACAAAGUUCGCAUCCCGCUGC
rnacentral:ncRNA from 1 species